UGCUUACUUGCAUUUUAGUUGGUAAAGCAUGAGACUCUUAAUCUCAGGGUCACGGGUUCAAGCCCCAUGUUGAGAG
rnacentral:tRNA from 1 species